rnacentral:rRNA from 1 species
GGAGGAAAGCAGGGGAUCGUAAGACCUAGCGUUGAUGGAGCGGCCGAUAUCUGAUUAACUAGUUGGUGGGGUAAGAGCCUACCAAGGCGACGAUCAGUAGCUGGUCUGAGAGGACGACCAGCCACACUGGAACUGAGACACGGUCCAGACUCCUACGGGAGGCAGCAGUGGGGAAUUUUGGACAAUGGGGGCAACCCUGAUCCAGCCAUUCCGCGUGAGUGAAGAAGGCCUUCGGGUUGUAAAGCUCUUUCGCAAGGGAAGAAAACUCGAUCUCUAAUAUAGGCUGAGGCUGACGGUACCUUGAUAAGAAGCACCGGCUAACUACGUGCCAGCAGCCGCGGUAAUACGUAGGGUGCGAGCGUUAAUCGGAAUUACUGGGCGUAAAGCGUGCGCAGGCGGUUUUGAAAGUCAGAUGUGAAAUCCCCGGGCUCAACCUGGGAACUGCGUUUGAAACUACAAAGCUAG